rnacentral:rRNA from 1 species
GAUGAACGCUGGCGGCGUGCCUAAUACAUGCAAGUCGAGCGAACGGACGAGAAGCUUGCUUCUCUGAUGUUAGCGGCGGACGGGUGAGUAACACGUGGAUAACCUACCUAUAAGACUGGGAUAACUUCGGGAAACCGGAGCUAAUACCGGAUGAUAUUUUGAACCGCAUGGUUCAAAAGUGAAAGACGGUCUUGCUGUCACUUAUAGAUGGAUCCGCGCUGCAUUAGCUAGUUGGUAAGGUAACGGCUUACCAAGGCAACGAUGCAUAGCCGACCUGAGAGGGUGAUCGGCCACACUGGAACUGAGACGCGGUCCAGACUCCUACGGGAGGCAGCAGUAGGGAAUCUUCCGCAAUGGGCGAAAGCCUGACGGAGCAACGCCGCGUGAGUGAUGAAGGUCUUCGGAUCGUAAAACUCUGUUAUUAGGGAAGAACAUAUGUGUAAGUAACUGUGCACAUCUGGACGGUACCUAAUCAGAAAGCCACGGCUAACUACGUGCCAGCAGCCGCGGUAAUACGUAGGUGGCAAGCGUUAUCCGGAAUUAUUGGGCGUAAAGCGCGCGCAGGUGGUUUCUUAAGUCUGAUGUGAAAGCCCACGGCUCAACCGUGGAGGGUCAUUGGAAACUGGGAGACUUGAGUGCAGAAGAGGAAAGUGGAAUUCCAUGUGUAGCGGUGAAAUGCGUAGAGAUAUGGAGGAACACCAGUGGCGAAGGCGACUUUCUGGUCUGUAACUGACACUGAGGCGCGAAAGCGUGGGGAGCAAACAGGAUUAGAUACCCUGGUAGUCCACGCCGUAAACGAUGAGUGCUAAGUGUUAGAGGGUUUCCGCCCUUUAGUGCUGAAGUUAACGCAUUAAGCACUCCGCCUGGGGGGUACGGCCGCAAGGCUGAAACUCAAAGGAAUUGACGGGGGCCCGCACAAGCGGUGGAGCAUGUGGUUUAAUUCGAAGCAACGCGAAGAACCUUACCAGGUCUUGACAUCCUCUGACAACCCUAGAGACAGGGCUUCUCCUUCGGGAGCAGAGUGACAGGUGGUGCAUGGUUGUCGUCAGCUCGUGUCGUGAGAUGUUGGGUUAAGUCCCGCAACGAGCGCAACCCUUGAUCUUAGUUGCCAUCAUUCAGUUGGGCACUCUAAGGUGACUGCCGGUGACAAACCGGAGGAAGGUGGGGAUGACGUCAAAUCAUCAUGCCCCUUAUGACCUGGGCUACACACGUGCUACAAUGGACGGUACAAAGAGCUGCAAGACCGCGAGGUGGAGCUAAUCUCAUAAAACCGUUCUCAGUUCGGAUUGUAGGCUGCAACUCGCCUACAUGAAGCUGGAAUCGCUAGUAAUCGCGGAUCAGCAUGCCGCGGUGAAUAC